AACCCAUAAUGAGGGCACCUUCUCAAUAAGUCCUUGUACCUCUCCCAUGUAUCAUAAAGAGUGUCUAAAUCCAUCUGCACAAAAGAAGAGAUAUCAUUCCUUAAUUU
rfam:Gossypium arboreum cultivar AKA8401 contig_104434_1, whole genome shotgun sequence.